rnacentral:rRNA from 1 species
UACAGAGGUCUCAAGCGUUGUUCGGAUUCAUUGGGCGUAAAGGGUGUGUAGGUGGCGCGCUAAGUCGGGUGUGAAAUUUCGGAGCUUAACUCCGAAACUGCAUUCGAUACUGGCGUGCUUGAAGACUGGAGAGGAGACUGGAAUUCAUGGUGUAGCAGUGAAAUGCGUAGAGAUCAUGAGGAAGACCAGUGGCGAAGGCGGGUCUCUGGACAGUUCCUGACACUGAGACACGAAGGCCAGGGGAGCAAACGGG